GACGAACGCUGGCGGCGUGCCUAACACAUGCAAGUCGAGCGGGGUUGAGGCGAGAGGUAACUCGAACUUCUAUCUAGCGGCGGACGGGUGAGUAACGCGUGGGCAACCUGCCUCAAGGUUUGGGAUAACAGCCCGAAAGGGCUGCUAAUACCGGAUAUGCCUAUGGCCUCGCAUGGGGCUAUGAGCAAAGGGGAAACCCGCCUUGAGAUGGGCCCGCGUCCCAUCAGCUAGUUGGUGAGGUAACAGCUCACCAAGGCGACGACGGGUAGCCGGUCUGAGAGGGUGACCGGCCACACUGGGACUGAGACACGGCCCAGACUCCUACGGGGGGCAGCAGUGGGGGAUCUUGCACAAUGGGCGAAAGCCUGAUGCAGCGACGCCGCGUGAGCGAAGAAGGCCUCGGGUUGUAAAGCUCUGUCUGGAGGGACGAACAAAAUGACGGUACCUCCGGAGGAGCCACGGCUAACUACGUGCCAGCAGCCGCGGUAAUAUCACGUGUACG
rnacentral:rRNA from 1 species